rnacentral:rRNA from 1 species
CGUGUAGGCGGUUGCCCAAGUCGGAUGUGAAAGCCUUGAGCUCAACUCAAGAAAUGCAUUCGGUACUGGGUGACUAGAGGACCGGAGAGGAUAGUGGAAUUCCCAGUGUAGUGGUGAAAUACGUAGAGAUUGGAAGAACACCAGUGGCGAAGGCGGCUAUCUGGACGGUUUCUGACGCUAAGACGCGAAAGCGUGGGGAGCAAACA